rfam:Felis catus isolate Cinnamon breed Abyssinian chromosome A1, whole genome shotgun sequence.
GCCUGGGUGGCUCAGCUGGUUAAGCGUCUGACCUCGGCUCAGGUCAUGAUCUCACAGUUUGUGGGUUCGAGCCCCACAUCAGGCU